GGGCCAGUAGUUCAAUCCGGUAGAACGCACCGCUGGCAGCGGUGAGGUCUCGGGUUCAAAUCCCGACUGGUCCA
rnacentral:tRNA from 1 species